rnacentral:misc_RNA from 1 species
AUCAAACACUUGUUGCAAGCUAGGCUAGUAAUAUUAUAGGCCACCUCACUACAAAGUACUAUGGUGGCAAAAUUUCUCCUAUUCUUCCUCCUCCAUUGCACCACUACCCUUGCUCAGGGUCCGGCAGCAGCUCCAGCACCGGCUGGCCCAACAAAUGUCACGAAAAUCCUCGAAAAGGCCGGCCAAUUCACUGUCUUUAUCCGACUUCUGAAAGCCACCCAAGAGGAUGUCACGUUAAAUGGCCAGCUCAAUAACACUAACAAUGGCAUUACCAUGUUCGCACCAAGUGAUAGUGCCUUUCAGAGCCUCAAAACAGGCACCCUCAACUCCAUAAACGAUCAAGAAAAGGCUGAGCUUGUGCAGUUUCACAUCAUUCCAACUUAUCUAUCGAGCUCCCAGUUUCAGACUGUGAGCAAUCCUGUGACCACACAGGCAGGAUCAGGCGAUAGAUUUCAGCUUAAUAUAACCACCACAGGGAAUGCUGUCAAUAUCUCCACAGGACUUACAAAUACAAGUGUAUCUGGCGCUGUGUACACCGAUGGGCAACUUGCCGUUUAUCAGGUUGACAAGGUGCUACUUCCUAUAGAUAUUUUUACCCCUAAACCACCAGCCCCGGCACCGUCGCCAGAGACACUUAAAAAGAAGAAGGCAAAGAGUGCAGAGAGUCCAGUUGUUCCUAAGGAUAUUUCUGGAGCAGUAAACUUUAUAGCGAGUAACAAUGUGGUUUUCUUUGGAGUUGGUAUAGUUAGUGCAAUACUUUCUUGGUGACACAGAAGACAUUUGAUGAGGCAUGUUGGGGCGAGGUCAGUUUCCCAGUGGUGUAUGAUUUUGCUGAGUUGGGUUGAAUAUGAUGAUGAUCAAGAUAUGGUGAGUGCUUUUAAAUAAUUGUUGUUUUUGCUCAGUCCCAAUUGUAUCAUUUAAGUUUGUGAUUAAGAUUGAGUUUUUUAUGUUUUCUUUUGUUCGGAUUUUUGUUAUUCCCCUUUUUCUUUUUCAGAUUUGUUCUACUUUGAGAAUUUUGUAACAUAUAUAGUUUUAAAAAGAAUAUGCAUCAAAU